rnacentral:lncRNA from 10 species
GUGACAUGGGUGCAUUUAGGCAGAGUGGAGGGUGAUCUGUCACGGAAAUGGUAGACCCUGGUCCUUUCCCUUGAACAUCUCAGGUUGAACACUGGGGCGGUGCUUCAUUAUGAGCCAUUAAGUGGAUUCUCAUGAGUGAGUUUCUGUUGGCCUUAUAGACAAUGGGGUUUUAAUCAUGUUUAUCUAGGCUAAGAGAGGACAAGAGAACCAUUUGUGUACUUUCAAAGAAUCAGGGCCCCAUGGCUGAGUGCUGCUGGGGACGUAGAGGAGCAGCUAAGAGAGCCCAGAGGAUGAUCACGGAACUGGGACAGGGAGCGCCCAAAACCAUGUGAGAGGCCAUGGGUGGGGGGUGACUGAGAAACAAGCUACUAACCACCUUGAAAUACAUGAAGGGUAAGAAGAAACUCCCACAGGACUCUCAAAUCAGAAUGUAAAGGUAAUGCAGGGAGGGGAAUGGACGCAGGAGCUGGAGGAGUAUAGAAUUGUUACAAAGCAACCGUGAAGAUGAAGACUUUGGAAAGGAAGGACACAUUGGAACUAGCCUCACACAGGUGUUAGACUAGUCGUGGGAACUUCAGACCCACUACAGUGCUGCAUGCUUCUGGAUAGCAGGUCUUCUUGCUAAUUUAAAAUAGCCCCUGGCUCUCUCACCAGAUUGGCCACAACCUCCCAGCAGACCCCCUGGCCUCCCUGUGCUGGCCCCAACUACACUCUCAUGCUCCUUUCCCACUUCUCCCACCUCAUCUUGCAGAUUCCCUCCUCCAUAGCCUCUUUCUGGAUCUCUCCCACGGAUGUCUCAUCCUUCAAGGCUCACCUAACGUGCUACCUCCUCCAGGAAGCCUUUCCUGAUCCAUGCCACCAGAUGGUACAUGCUCCCUGCGGGAACCCAUAUAGCACAUUGUGCCUCUUUAUGGCACUUUCACUUCCUCCUGCAUUCUAACAAAUUGUGUGCUUGUCUGAGCUCUCACCCCCACCUCUCCUUAGAAAACUUCAAGGGCAGAGACCUGAUCCUUUCAUUUGUGUAUUCACAGUGCCAGGGCAGGAACCAGUGUGCCAUAGACACUCAAUAAAUGUUAAAUUGCAUUUCAGCCAAUGCAUACCUUGGACAAAGUUUCUGUGUUCCUUUAGAGGUUAUGACCGAGACUCGGGCUUAAACACUUGCCUCUGUCACUAGCCAGGUGAUCUAGGGUAACUUAAUUCAUCUCUGCACCUAGGUUUUCUCAUCUGUAAAAUGAGCACAACAGGACCUACCUCCAAAGGACACUGUGGUAGUCUUCAUAAAGCCCUUAGUAGAUUGUCUGGACACACUGUGAAUGCUCAGUAGAUGUAAGACAGGGUUAGCAAUGUGCAGUAUAAGGGACAUAAUUUCCUUUCGAUUGCCAAGAGUGCAGUGAUUCAUAUGCUCCUUUUCUACCUGGCAGUCUUUAUCUUCUGUAAAGCACAUCUUUGCACAAAGCAGCUUCAUAUCAUUUCAAUGCUGUUAGAUAUCUGGGCGCCAUAUACACAGGAAUGCUAGUAGGCAGUUUGUUAACUAGGAAUCAAAUAUACCAAUCAAAGAGAUUUUCCUCAAAGUGAUUUGCCAAUUCAUCCAUCCAUCAAGCCUGUGCCAUUACAAGCUGCGUGAGUCCUCCAAGGCCUGCGAAAAUGAAAAUGAACAAAACCAAACCCCUGUUCCCAUGUUGAUCACAGCCUCCCCGGGCAAAUAUAGCAAAGACCUAGAUAGAACUAUAAAAAGAGGCUGCGAGAGUCCAAAGAGGAGAGUGGCCGCCCCUGUGCAUGGUGAGGAGAGGUUGGGGAAGUGGGAGCGCCAGCAGGCCUCAUGGAAGAGGGGGUGUGCAGCUGGACCCUGCCAGGUGAGUAGGAAGAAGUUUGUCAGAGAGAGGAGGUAGAAGCAUCUCCAAAAACAGGAAGCAGCAAGUGCAAAGAGACAGAGUCCUUGAGUCCACAUUCGGCAAAUGCUGAGGUUGGUGGCCCUAAAAGGCCCAGAAAAUCAAUCCACAUUCUUCUAAUACUGAUGUGGAUUUUAUUUAAAAUAGAAACACUUCCACCAAAUUAGUUAUGAAUCCCAGAAGAGAUUAUCUUAUUGCUAAAAUAAAUGUUCUUUUCUUAUUUCUUCCAAAAUGAUUUGAUGGUUAUUUUUCUGAAGCAUAUUUCUGAUUUCUCUUGAAAACAAGUGCCUUCAGAAAGUCCAUGUCAGCCAAGGAGAAACAACUCAAAAGUAGCCCAGGAUCACAACUAUUUAGCCCCACCAAGGAUCAAAUUCUUCAUAUUCUCUAAACUACCCCCCCAGCACAUGGAGUGAUUUCAGCUCUUCAAAGCCAGUAAAGAGAUAAGUUCAUUGAAACUCAAGAUGACAGGCACAGAGCUCAUUAUAUCUGGUUUCAUUUGUUCCUUCAGUUAUUCUCUGAGGACAGUGGACAGUGAAUGCAGCCAGACGUCUCUUUCAGAAGAGCACAAAUGGAGGAGGAAAUUUUGUUCAUAACUUUGCUGGGAGAAUGUUUGGCCAAAUGCAGUGGCCUGAGGCCAGAAAAUGCCAUUUUUUAUCUCCAGUGCAGACAGGCAGAGAGGAGGUGUAAUGGAUUUAGCAAGAUAAAGACUUGGACCCACAGAAAAAGAAACACACACACAUCCACAUGCACACGUGAUCCUCACGGAAAAUUAGACUUCACUUCCACCUCUUGAGGUGGGAAUUGUAGUCUUACUGAAAUUACAGAGACGAAGCUACGGUCAUAUUACACAAAGCUGUAUCUAUCAGUGAAGGGUGGCCUCUUGGGAAUGAACUAUUUAAACAACAAUUGCGUGUCCAGAAUUCAUGAGAAUAUGGCGAUGGUGGUGGACGUCAGUGUCAUGAUAUUAAUAUAUUCCAGCGGACUUGAACACCCAUCUUACUAGCCGACUUUUGCUGUCAACUGUCUCCCUUGCUGGCUUUGAUGGAGUAAGCUGCCAUAGAGAGAGGUCCUGGAGAAGAACUGAGGGUGGCCUCUGGCUGAGGGCCCACAAGAAGCUGAGGCCCUCAGGCCAACAACCCUCAAGGAACUGAAUUCUGUCAACAACCACAUGAUUUUGGAAGCAGAACCUUCCCCGGUCAAGCUGCAGAUAAGAUCCCCAGCCCUGACUGACUCCCGGAUUAAAGCACCGUAAGAGAAUCUAAAACAGAGGAAUCAGCUAAACUGUGCCUGGACUCCUGACCCACAGGAACUGUGAAAUAAUAAAUGUGCUGUUUAAAAGUACGAAGUUUGUGGUAAUUUGUUAUGCAGCAGUAGAUAAGUAACACAACAAAGCAGUUAUAACCUUCUGUACCUGACAUCCUGUGAGCAUGACAAUACUCUUCUUAUGAUACCAGCAUUACACAUGUAACAGAAACCACUCCAUUAUGACAUACACAAACAUAUUGUAAGCUGCUGUUACUAUGCUGGGUUGAGAAUUAUUCAUCUUUCUAGAACUCCUAGGGUACUUGUUCUGUAUUUAGAUUCUCAUUUAAUCAGGACUCAUUUCCAGGCUUCUUCCUGCUGAUUGUAAAUACCAUGCUCACACACACAGGUCCACAUUCACACAUACAGAUCCACAUUCACACACACAGGUCCACACACACACACACAGGUCCACGUUCACAUACAGAUCCACAUUCACACACACAGGUCCACACACACACACACAGGCCCACACUCACACACACAGGUCCACACUCACACACACAGGCCCACACUCACACACACACAUCCACACUCACACACAGGCCCACACUCACACACACAGGUCCACUCUCACACACAGGCCCACACUCACACAGGCCCACGUUCACACACACAGGUCCACAUUCACACACAAGAUCCACACUCACACACACAGGUCCUGCAUCUCGCUGAAUUUAAUUAAGGAUCAACCUGAAAUAAAAU